UGGGGAAUUUUGGACAAUGGGGGCAACCCUGAUCCAGCAAUGCCGCGUGUGUGAAGAAGGCCUUCGGGUUGUAAAGCACUUUUGUCCGGAAAGAAAACGUCGUGGUUAAUACCCGUGGCGGCUGACGGUACCGGAAGAAUAAGCACCGGCUAACUACGUGCCGGCAGCCGCGGUAAUACGUAGGGUGCAAGCGUUAAUCGGAAUUACUGGGCGUAAAGCGUGCGCAGGCGGUCCGCUAAGACAGAUGUGAAAUCCCCGGGCUUAACCUGGGAACUGCAUUUGUGACUGGCGGGCUAGAGUAUGGCAGAGGGGGGUAGAAUUCCACGUGUAGCAGUGAAAUGCGUAGAGAUGUGGAGGAAUACCGAUGGCGAAGGCAGCCCCCUGGGCCAAUACUGACGCUCAUGCACGAAAGCGUGGGGGAGCAAACAGGAUUAGAUACCCUGGUAGUCCACGCCCUAAACGAUGUCAACUAGUUGUCGGGUCUUCAUUGACUUGGUAACGUAGCUAACGCGUGAAGUUGACCGCCUGGGGAGUACGGUCGCAAGAUUAAAACUCAAAGGAAUUGACGGGGUCAUAGCUG
rnacentral:rRNA from 1 species